UCCCUGAGGGUUUAGUGGUUAAGACUCCAUGCUGCCAAUGCAGGGGGUGCAGGUUCAAUCCCUGGUCAGGGAA
rnacentral:tRNA from 1 species